GACGAACGCUGGCGGCGUGCUUAACACAUGCAAGUCGAACGGAAAGGCCCCUUUGGGGGUACUCGAGUGGCGAACGGGUGAGUAACACGUGAGUAACCUGCCCUUGACUUCGGGAUAACUUCAGGAAACUGGGGCUAAUACCGGAUAGGAAUCCUUGCUGCAUGGUGGGGGUUGGAAAGCUUCGGCGGUUUGGGAUGGACUCGCGGCUUAUCAGCUUGUUGGUGGGGUAGUGGCUUACCAAGGCUUUGACGGGUAGCCGGCCUGAGAGGGCGACCGGCCACAUUGGGACUGAGAUACGGCCCAGACUCCUACGGGAGGCAGCAGUGGGGAAUAUUGCACAAUGGGCGGAAGCAUGAUGCAGCAACGCCGCGUGCGGGAUGACGGCCUUCGGGUUGUAAACCGCUUUCAGCAGGGGCGAAGCUUUUGUGACGGUACCUGCAGAAGAAGCACCGGCUAACUACGUG
rnacentral:rRNA from 1 species